GACUGAGUAUUUCCCCGCAGUUAUCGAGAUCCAUUGCAAAGUGGAUCCACAAGUAAUGCUCAACAUGGCACAGAAGAGACUAAGAUACACCUAUAUUUUUAGCAAAAACAAAUCAAUCUUCUGAACUGUAAGAAACUGAAAUUCAUUAUCAGUAACACCUAAAAAUCUUCUGAGGAGAAUUAGGGAUUUAGAAGGAAAGAAAAA
rnacentral:lncRNA from 1 species